UUUCCGUAGGUGAACCUGCGGAAGGAUCAUUAUUGGAUUUUGAAACUUCAGGCUGCCGCUGGCUCUCCUCGGAGGGCAUGUGCACGCUUGUUGUCCAUUAUUUCUCCCACUGUGCACAAAUUGUAGACCUUUCAGUAGGCCUAUGUUGUUUUUCACAAUCUCUGAAUGUAAUAGAAUGGUUUUGAAUCUUGGGAAAUACAAUACAACUUUCAGCAACGGAUCUCUUGGCUCUC
rnacentral:misc_RNA from 1 species